GUUCCGCCCACAGCGCGACUCCAACUGCCCACUGGCUGAGGCCUAGGAGGCGGGAGCGAGACAGCUCCGCCCGCAAAACAGCCCCACCUCCACAUUGGGCAAGGCUCGGAGAGGGGCGGGAUGUCCCUAAAUCUACUGGACCUGAAGACGUGUCCCAUUUCUGCGUGUUAGACAGCGGUACUCUCUCUGUGGUGGAAGAUGAUUUCAGAGAGCUCUGAGAGAGUAGUACACCCCGUGAUCAGCCUGCAGCUCCACUCCUCCACCAUGUCACCAUCACCCAGCUGGAGAAGCGUCAGGCCUGACGAAGAAGGUCCUAUCUGCCAGGGAGCCUCACGACCUAGGAAACAUGUGCCUAGGGACUGAGAAAAUCCACAGAACCGGAUCCAGAGAAUAUUGGAUUCUGGCAGGCAGGACAAGAACGUAGAUCAGGUGCUUCCUGCAGGGAUCCAGACACAGAGGCCAAACACAAGUGCACCAGCAAGUCCUACCCUGUUCCUCAACACCGUUACAACCCGGCAAAUUGAUUCAUCAGCGGCCAGGAAGACCUGUUCCUUCUGUAAAACGUUAGACCCAACAUAACAGUAAAAACUUU